AGUGAACGCUGGCGGUAGGCCUAACACAUGCAAGUCGAACGGUAGCACAGUAAGAGUUUGUGUUUACCGGUGGCGAGUGGCGGACGGGUGAGGUAUACAGCGGACUGCACUUUGUCGUGGGGGAUCACGUAGGAACGGUUACUCUUACAGCGCAUCCUCCCUACGGGUGAAAGCAGGGGAUCCUCGCAUCUUGCGCGCGUGAGUGCGCCGAUGGGGGAUUAGAUAGGUGGCGGGGUAAAGGCACACCAAGGCGACGAUCCGUAGCUGGUCUGAGAGGAUGACCAGCCACACUGGAACUGAGACACGGUCCAGACUCCUACGGGAGGCAGCAGUGGGGAAUAUUGGACAAUGGGCGCAAGCCUGAUGCAGCCAUGCCGCGUGUAUGAAGAAGGCCUUCGGGUUGUAAAGCACUUUUAGCGGGGAGGAAGAGAGUCAAGUUAAUACCUUGGCGUAUUGACGGUACCCGCAGAAGAAGCACCGGCUAACUUCGUG
rnacentral:rRNA from 1 species